GGCGUUAUAUUGUGAUAAGUGAGAACCAAAUAAAGUCUGCUUCUUCGUUUUUCUGUUGGUUUAACGCGACUGAUGUCUACCAGAACAAAGAUUUUCUGAUGAACAAUUCCAUGCUGCUCUCUUCCCAUAUACUGAUAACAACAGAAUUGUACGUUUGAAUAAUAGUCUCAAAUCAGAGGAACUAAUCCAUGCUAACCUCACAAAGGGAUUUUGAAGAUUGUGGGGUGCAUUAAGCUGCAAGUUAUUGAGGAGAAAAACAGAAAUCAGCGAUGCAUUGUAGGAUUGUUGUACUAAAAUGAUGAUGGUGACUGUUUCGAUGCUCCUUAGUGAUGCCAGGCCGUCUGCAUCAAUAGAUAAUUGAUGCAACCGGUGAUACACCAAGAAUCAAGCCAAAUGCAAUUGCACAGGGGUGCAAUUUUUUGUUUGACGCCAUUUAAUUGUUUCCUGAAUUAACCACCUUGGUGUUUGUGUGGGGUAAAUCAAGGCCCUUGUUUUAUGUUAAUAAUUUCGGUAGUAGACUUGGAUUGGCCUGAGCGGCUGAGCAUAUGGUUUGUGGAGCUUUUCAACCAUUCCUAGAAGGUGGGAAAAGCUUACACCACAAUGAUGCUAAUCAUAGGCCAGUGUCAGCACUUUGGGAACAUAUGGGGCAUCAAUUCAGAUGGCAUGAUCAUGUAUAUGAGCUACAGCUUGUCAAGAAACAAGCUGGACAGAAGUUCUGUUUUCUGGUGAUAUUUGUAACCUUUGUCCUCUUAAUCUCUUAUAGUUGAUAUCUUAUGUAUGUAGUUUGUGGUUUGUUAACCUUUGUGAAACUUGUUAGACUUUGUUCCCCUUAUAUUUUUUAAUAAAAGAAACGGGUGGACUCCUUCAAGUC